CGGGCCGCGGUGGGUCGCCGCCGCCGAGCGGGCCGCUGUCUCACCGGCAGAUUUGGAUGGCGGACGGCGUCUCGGUGACGGAGCCCGACAUGCUGGCGGCGGAGGCGGAGGCGGCAGCGGAGGCGGCAGCUCGGGCUGGAGAGAGCACAACGCAGGGAACGUGAAUUUGCACGCCGAAAUGAAAAAUUUAAAUGCACAGAACUCGAGCUCCAGGUGCAUUUUGAACAACCGGGUGCUACCCAGCCAGGGACCCUAAGGAGGAGCCCACAGGCCAGCGCUAUAGCCCCACCCCGCUUCCAGCACUGCAAGUGGCCGGGAUCAGGGCUCCUGGGACUUCAGGAUUGUUACAACGCCAAGGAGUUGGGUUUAGGAGCUGUGGUAGAACAGAACGCUCGCAUCGCAGGCUGGAAGCAAAAAAAAAAAGAAGCCAAUUAAGGUGAACCAAGCACUGAGGGUCAUCAACCACCAUAAACAUUCCGACUUAUCUCUAAUGGAGGCAGUAAGCAGCUUUGGAGAUAAGAUCAGGCACUUUCCCCUGGUACCGAUAAAAAUGAAAAAGACAAAAAAAAAAGAUCUGGCAUUUUCCUUAUCUAAUUUUCAUAACUCAAUUGAUGGGGUGAUAACACCUCACUAGCUUUUGUGAGAGUUGAAGAGUGCUGAAUGUUCAGGACCUAAGGAGGUGAGGCAAGAGAAUCCAAGUGAGUUCCAGGCCAGCCUGAACCACAGAGUAAGGGCCUGUCUUGAACACCACCCGUUCCCUAAAAAAAUAAAUAGGGCAUUUUUCUCCCUUGUUCUUUGCCUGUGCUAGUCUAUAAAUGCAAAGUAACAAGCGUGCCCUCAGACCGAACAUGCAAAGCAGUGGGUGUUUACUGAGACCCCGCCCUUUAUAGAGAUUUGCUUAUCCAGGUGGGAGUGCUGGGUGGCACAGCCCCCGCCUGGCAAGCACAAGUCCUGAGUUUGAUUCCCAGUACUAAAAAAAAAACCAAAAAAACGUGAGAGUGCUUCAGAAAUUCAGACUCUGAUUGGAAGACUGAUUUAGUGACCCAAAAUGUUUAACUCAAGCCACACUCUGCCCAGAAGAGAUUUCCAGACCAGACAGGUGGCCUGAGUGGUUUUCAUCUCUUCUAGAGAACGGCAAAAGAAAUCAAAACAGGCCAUGUACUUUAGGGGAGAGGGCACGGCCGGCCUUUGGGCAGAAAACCCCUCUGUCAAGGUUUCUUGUACUGCCCAUAGCAGCCAGGGGGUCGGGGAGGGUAACAGCCCCUGCACCCUGCCCUGUUCUGACUACAGAAAAAGAAAAGGGCACCCCAGAAGACUGGGGUGGCGCUGCGCUGCUUUCAAGGAUAGCAGUGGGGGCCCCUUCUGAGUUAUUUCUGCCCCAACGUAAGUCAGGCUCCCUUGCCUGGGGGUUUUUUGUUUUUGUUUUUUUUUUUUUUUUGUCUUUUUUCCUUUUUAUCAGUACCGGGGAUCGAACUCACGACCGCCUGUUUGUAAGGCAGGUGCUUAUGCCACUGAGCUAAAUCCCCAGCCCCUUGCCUGCCAGUUCCUUCCAGCGAAACCCAAGAGCUACUUGUCUCAUGCAACCCUGUCUUCUUCCCAGUCACCUUUGAACCCAUUCCAUCUAGGUGUCUGUUUGAGCCACUCCACUUGGCAAGGUGCUGAUUCCUUCUUGGUUGCUAAACCCAGUAAUCUCGUGUCAGAAGUCAUCUGCCUAAAUCUGGGAGCUAAGCAGGCAGGCAGAUGCCAUGUCUUCAGGAAGUGCUUCCCCCAGGUUCUGGGAUUCCCCACCGCACUCUCCUGCUCAGCUGGGCCUGCCCUCUGGCCCCUUGGCUGUCCAAGCCCUGCCCUGCCCAUCUCCUCUUUAAUUCCCAUCUGCACUGCGUGGAGCCAGGGCCUCACCUGAGUUUCAGAUCUAGCAGUCCGCCUGCCCACACUGCUCCCACGGUGCUGUCUCCUUUUGCGCAAGCUCAGCACCCAGGAGGCAUCCCUGACCCCUCUGUCUCACAUCCCAGGGCCCGGUCAUCUGCAAGUCCUGCAGGUUCCGCACUGCGAAUAAACCUACGCUCUGACCACUCCUCACUGUGGAACUCGAAAAUCUGCCUCAUGCUUGCCCAGCUGGUGAUUCCGCCUGCCUCCAGCCAUGCUGAAGCAGGCCUGGCCUCGGGCAGUCACCGGCUCCUUCCACCCCUGGACCACUGAGACUGGCAAAUGCCACCUUGCCCAGGUUCUCUCGGUGACAGUUCCCUCCCGUACGCCCUGCCCUCCAGGUGUGCUUUUGUCUUGGCACUUAGGCCAUUUAGCAGGUAAUUCACUCAUCUGUUUAUUGUGCCUCCUCCAGGUAGAAUAUAUGGGUAGGGAAUGUUUUUUAUGGUGGCCACUACUGUGUAUAUUCCAGGCUCCAGGAAUACAUCAUGGGUGCUCAAUAGCUCUGUUACAAAUUAUUUAAUCAGGAUAUAGACAGUCUUCAGGCGUGGGGGUACAUCCCUGUAAACCCAGCACUUGGGAGGCUGAGCCGAUGGAGGCCAGCCUGGCCUGCAUAAGUGAGUUCAAGGCUAACCUGCACUACAGAGCAAGACCCUGUCCAAAAAAAAGGAUACAGAUGGUCCUCAGCUUUGGAUGGGGCUACAACUCAUUAAACCCAUAGCAAGGUGGAAAAUGCAUUCAGUGGAUUUACGUGCUGAACACCUUAGCUCAGCCCCCCACUCCACGCAGUCUGAGAAUACUUUAACUGAAGUUGUGCAAAAUCAUCAGUGCAUUAGUGCAAGGCCCAUUUUACAGCACUACAGUCACUGUUCCACAACGCAUUGUGCAAGGUCGUCCCACAGAAUCCUCCAGGUUAUCAGCUGUUUACCUCACGAUCAGGUGAACUGCUGGGAACUGUGUCUGUCUCUGCCCAAGAUCUCUGCCCAUAAUCCCAAGAGAGAAUCGCUCUGAAUUGUCAGGAGCCCAAAAGAGGAUCAGUGGUGUAGUAUACUCCAUCAGGAAGCGCCAGACAGUCCAGAAAAGCAGUACACUUGAGUUAGGGCAGGGAAGACUCACAAUACAGAGGAAUGGGAGGAAGAGAGUAUCACACCACCCACAUCAUGAUCCCAAAGUCUGCAAGGGAAGUGUAAGCAGUAACAAGGAACGGGGCUGGAUGAAGCACAUCUGAAGUCUGAACUGCUUCAGAGGCUGAGGCAGGAGGGUCUCAAUUUUAAAACCAACUCGAACAAUUCAGUGAGAUCCUGUUUCAAAGUGAAAUUUAAAAGGCUGUGAGCUGGGGUGUGGUGGUGCAUGCCUGUAACUCCAGCACUCAGGAGGCUCCUGGGUCAGGGCCAGGAGGAUUUCAAGUCUGAAGCCAAGCUGGGCUACAUAGUAAGAUCCUGGAUUAAAAAAAAAAAAAUUGGAUAAUUGUCACUGAAGACAGAAUGGUAGGACCCUCAGUGGAGGACGGGAAUUGGCAGGGGUUCCUAGGCAGAGGGUUGAUCUUUCCUCUGUGACCUGGGUAACAACGUACAGGCUUAUAAUUUUUUUUUACACUAUACACACUUUAUGCAUUUUUCUGUUUACAUCAGAGAUUUUAGAAACCAAUGCAGCAUCUGGGAAUCAGGGUGACGGCCACUUUCUGUCUUGACAUUUCCAGCUCAAGGAGGCCACCAGCCAGGAUCCCGCAUUCUGGUCAGGGCUCUGCUGCCCACAUGUUGGGUCAGCUGCCUCUCUGUGUCCAGGGUCCCCACAGGCCCAGAAUUCGGUGCUGGGGGCCUAGGCAGGCACAGGAUGGGAUUAGGAAGCCCCCCAAGCACUGGCUGUCACACGUAGCUCCGGACAACAUGAGUCCGUCUUCUCAAUUUGUUUUUGCUGGGGGGAGGGGUGGAACACAGGGCUUCCUGCGGGGUGGGCAAGUGCGCUCUCUCCCCUGACACAGAAAAGGUCGCUGUGCAAGCUCAAGAGAUGGCCCCUGUGAAGCCAUGCAAAGGCCAGCUGAGCAGCAGGACUUCAUAGCUAUGCCCACCGCCCAGGUCUUGGUUACUUUCUGGUCACCAGGACACAGAACCUGACACCCACAGUUUAGGAGAGGUCCAGCUGGGCAUGGUGGCCACCUCUCCCAAAGCUCUGCCAGUGAGCACACCCGGGUCUAAACGUAACAGUCCAACUCCACUGCAGGGCCUCAGGGGGGCCUGGCCCAUCCCCAGCAGGCUCGCUCUGGGCUCUCAGCUGUCACCUCAGCAGGUCCUCUGAGUACACAGAGUGACAUCUGGCCAGCCAGCCUCUUAUGCCUCAUGACAGCCACCAGCUACCUUGUGGGGAGCCUCAGCAGGGCGGCAUAGUCAGCAGAGUGUUGGGGACAGCUGAGGAGUGGCCACUAGAGAGCAGGGUGGCACUGGGCAGGACUAAGAGCAAUAAUCCCCUCUCCCAGGCUCUGAGGCCUUAGAGUAACUCUGAGUCAUCUGCACCUCGGUUCCCUCAGGGAAAAGUGGGGACGCCCUGCCGGUGGGGUGGUCAAGGAGUGAGCAGCUGCUGCCCAAAACCGUGUGGCACAGAAUGGGUUCUGAAAGUCCACCGGUGCAGCCCGACACACUGAGGUCCUGGGCUGCAGGGUUGUUGACAAAGGGACUCAGAUGGCCUCGGCCCAGGAGGAGCUGCAGCAUGGCCAGGGCCUGCUCGUCUGCCAGUGCCAGGCCGGGGACUCCACAGGAGACAGGCCCGGCCCUCCGUCCACAGGGUUCAUCCGUCUUUUCGCAUUCACGGUUUAGCUGCUGUGUGUUUCCUGUUUGGAGACCACGAGUGCUUUACCCCUUCCAUCCAGACAAAGCCUGAGUGUGUUGCCAAGUGCGGACCAAAAGCCACAGUGUGUUUCCGGGCAUGGUGGUGCACACCUGUAAUCCCUGCACUCAGGAGGCUGAGGCAGGAAGAUUGCUGUGAGUUCAAGACCAGCCUGAACUGCAUAGCAAGACCCUGUCUCAAAAACAAAACAAAACAAAACACAGUGUGUGCUGACAUCUACCAGACACAUUGCCAUGAACUCCCCAAGCCCCCAAGCCUGCUCCUUGAACACAUUUUCUCACGGUUUCCACUUUCUGGAGUAGUUUGGGUUUUUUUAUCGGUACCAGGGGUCAAACUCACGACCAUGCACUUGCAAAGCAGGCGCUUAUGCCACUGAACUAAAUCCCCAGCAUCUGGAGGAGUUUUGGAAGUCCCCUCUCAUGACCGUCUUUAUGAAGUGGGAUAAAAAAUACAGUUACUAGGGGCUGGGGAUUUAGCUCAGCGGCAUAAGCGCCUGCCUUGCAAGCAGGCAGUCGUGAGUUCGGUCCCUGGUACCGAUAAAAAUGAAAAAGACAAAAAAAAAAAAAAAAUACAGUUACUGCCGCCAAGUCCCUCCUGACAGAAGGGCAGGCUCCCAACACACUCUGGGGUGAUGUUGUCAACAGCUUGGAUCCAUUCAGGACAUCAAGGCAGCCACGACAGGGUAUCAAGAAAGAGGACCCCAGAACUGCUACAGAAGGCGGCAGGAAGGACGGGUUGACCUGUCUGUCCGAAGCAAGCGGGAGGAUCUGAGGGGGAUCUGCAGCAAUGCACCCUCACCGCACUGAAUGUUUAAAAUUUAAGGCAUUUGCCAAAUUUUUAAAAUCACAUUUAUACAAAACGCUGAAGCACUGCCCACCCUUCCCACAGGAAGGACAGAUCUCAACGCCACACAGACAUCCUCGCCACCUGGCCACUACCCUAACUACCAUCUCCUGCUCUGCCCUGCCCUGCCCAAGAACAAACCAGGGAAGCCAGUGAAAGACCCCCUUGAAAGGAGGGUCCCGCCGAGCACAGCCAGCAGGAAGUGGGUCACCCCACUGGAGAAGAAAACCAUCCAUGCGUUUAGAAAAGGCAGCGAUCGGCUUACUUAGAGGCACUCAGAAGUCACUUCUCGGAGUUUAAGUAGGUCAGGCUUUGAAUCUAGAAUUACAGCGUCGACAUUUAAUGGGAUUCAUCAGAGGACGGCUUCAAAGCACCCGCGCCCUUGACACGCUUGGCUUCUCUCCGGGAAGCGCGGGCGCUGGGUGCGCUCUGCGGCCCUGUGGCGCCAUCUAGCGGUGUGGUCAAUUCCCACGCGCUCCAUUCGGCUCCACCGUGGCCGGUCCCACGUGGAGGAGACCUUGCUGCACAGCGGAAGAAACCGGUUGGUUUAUGGUAUUUGUAAUAAUGGGGAUUGAACACAGGGCCUCCCCCAUGGGAGGUAAGUGAUCUAGCACUGAGCAACAUCCCCGGGCUUUUUUUUUUUUUUUUUUUUUUUAAUUUUCAGACAGGGUCUGGCUAAGUUGCCCAGCCUGGAUUCAAGGUUAAAGUCUUCCUGCCUCAGCCUCCUGAAUGCUGGGAUUACAAGUGUGCAUCAUCAUGUCUGUCUAGGAACAGCUGCUGUUUUAGUCAGCUUUCCUGGCACUGGGACACCAUACCCAAGAGCUGCAGUUUAAAGGAGGAGGGGCUGGGCCAGUCCAAGGUCAGCCAGCUCAAACAGAAACGGCUGGAGGAAGGGUGUGGCAGAGCAGAGCUCUCCUGGAAGUCAGGAAGUAGGGGUGGGAGGAGCUGGGAAGGGAAAUGCACCUGCCCAGUCAGGACCUAGUACAGCUCCGCGGUGGUGGAACCUAGCACACAGGAGGCCCCAGGCUCCAUCCGCAGCACCCGCAGCAGAAAAACAAAACAAGGGAUCCAGAGCCCUGCAGCGUCAAUCCCUCCUCCAGCUCCCUCCUGCUGUGUGGGUUUAGGCAAUUACCCAGACUCCUCUGUGCUCCAGCGUCCUCAUCUACAAAGUGAGGAUCAUAACCAGACCUACCUGGCAGGGCUUUUGUGAGGCUGCUUAUAAAUUGUUAUAACCUAUAUAUGUAAAAACUCCUCAUAAGUCUCCUCGGAGGCAAGAAAAAGAUCAAAGGUAACUCUAAGAGCAGAACAGGAUGUCUUCCUAAUCUAAACUUGCUUGUUUGCAGGGUGACUUGCUUGUUUGCAGGAUGUGCCUUCCCCAGAGGAUGUUUGCCUAAUCAAAACUUGCUUGUUAGCCCAACCCUUACCUGAACCUUGCUCUUCCCAAGAAAUGUAAUCGCAGUGUUCCUGUUCUGUAGUGUGUCACAGACCCACCCCACUCCUUGCAUUGUGAGACCAGCAGCUGUUUGCUAUUUUACAAGAUAGAAAACCCUGCCCUUUAGCUGUUAGGGGCGCAGUCUUCCAUAUUAGCUACCCAUUGCCAGGCCUGGCCUAAAAUAAAGCCUUUGCUCCAAAUUUCUUAAA